GCGAGGGCGCGAGGAGGAUGCCUUGGCUUCGGCAGGCGAAGAAGGGCGCAGCGAGCUGCGAAAAUGUCCGGGGAUCGGCAAGCGCGAAAUGAUCCGGACGCACCCGAAUGGGGCAACCCCCCGGGCUGGAGGCCCGGGACCAGGAGCGAUCCUGGGGCGAACCCGGGGAACUGAAACAUCUCAGUACCCGGAGGAAGAGAAAGAAAAGAUCGAUUCCCCCAGUAGCGGCGAGCGAAGGGGGAAGAGCCUAAACCGUCGCGCUUUCGGGCGCGGCGGGGUCGUAGGACCGGCGGCAUGAGCCGCGCGAGCGAACCGGAAGGCGUUUGGAAAACGCCGGCGCAGAGGGUGACACCCCCGUACGGGCGAGCGAGCGCGGAACUAGCCGGCACCUGAGUAGGGCGGGGCACGAGGAAUCCUGCCUGAACCCGCGGGGACCAUCCCGCAAGGCUAAAGACUGCCGAAGACCGAUAGCGAACCAGUACCGUGAGGGAAAGGUGGGAAGGACCCCGAACAGGGGAGUGAAAAAGAACCUGAAACCGCGCGCCCACGAGCGGUCGGAGCCAUCGCGAGAUGGUGACGGCGUGCCUUUUGGAUAAUGAGCCUACGAGUUGCGUCGCCGGCGCGAGGCUAAGCCCCUCAGGGGCGGAGCCGGAGCGAGAGCGAGUCUUAAUUGGGCGUAGAGUGCCGACGAGCAGACGCGAAACCUAGUGAUCUACCCUUGCCCAGGGUGAAGGCGCCGUAGCAGGCGCUGGAGGCCCGAACCAGUUUCCGUUGAAAAGGGCUUGGAUGAGGUGAGGGUAGGAGUGAAAGGCCAAUCAAACUGGGAGAUAGCUCGUACUCCCCGAAAUGUCUUUAGGGACAGCCCCGUACGCAGAUGCGCAAGGUAGAGCUACCGAUUGGAAGCGAGGGCUUCGCCGCCUGUCAAUUCCAGACGAACUCCGAAUGGGCGCAUCCCAAGGUGCGGGAGUGAGUCGGCGGGUGCUAAUAUCCGUCGGCGAGAGGGUAAGAGCCCAGACCUCCGGCCAAGGCCCCAAAGAGCGGUCUAAGUUGAGACGGAACGAGGUGGCGCCGCAUGGACAGCCAGGAUGUUAGCUUGGAAGCAGCUAUUCAUUCAAAGAGUGCGUAACAGCUCACUGGUCGAGCGGAGCCGCGUGGAUGAUGAGCGGGCAUCAAGACCGCCGCCGAAGCCGAGGGCGCGAGGGAGGGAUCCGCCGCGCGGUAGGGGAGCAUUGAUACCAGCGCUGAAGGCGAACCGCGAGGUUCGCUGGAGCGGUAUGAAAAGAAAAUGUAGGCAUGAGUAACGACAAUGAGCAUGGAAAUGCUCACACCGAAAGCCCAAGGUUUCCUGAACCACGUUAAACGGAUCAGGGUGAGCCGGGAGCUAAGCCGGACCCGAGAGGGGCAGGCGAUGCGCAUGCGUUUAAUAUUACGCAGCCCGCACGGCGGGCGCAGGAGAGACCGAGAAGUGACACUGCCGCGGGGAGACGGAAUUCCCCGUUGAAGGGAGGUAGGCCGCGAGGCCGAGGCCCGACAGAACGGCGAGCCUCCGGGCGAGCCGACAGAGCAGGCAAUCAAGCUCGCGAGAAAAUCCCCUGCGCGUCAAGAGCCGCGCGGCCCGUACCGUAAACCGACACAGGUGGGCGGGGAGAGAAUCCUCAGGUGCUCGAGUGAAUCACGGCCAAGGAACUAGGCAAACUGACCCCGUAACUUCGGGAGAAGGGGUCCCGCCGCGAGGCGGGCGCAGCGAGAAAUGGCCCAGGCGACUGUUUACCAAAAACACAUGGCUAUGCGAAAUCGUUAAGAUGACGAAUAUGGCCUGACACCUGCCCGGUGCCGGAAGGUUAAGAGGGGGGCUAAGGAGGAGUGCGAAUGAAUCCGACGGCCUGAAUUGAAGCCCCGGUAAACGGCGGCCGUAACUAUAACGGUCCUAAGGUAGCGAAAUUCCUUGUCGGGUAAGUUCCGACCUGCACGAACGGUGUAACGAUCUGGGCGCUGUCUCAGCCGUGAGCUCGGUGAAAUUGUAGUGGCGGUGAUGAUGCCGCCUACCCGCAACGGGACGAAAAGACCCCGUGAACCUUUACUACAGCUUAGCGCUGGGUGCGGGCGGACGAUGUGUAGGAUAGGUGGGAGGCAGCGAAGCUGCGGCGCCAGCCGCGGCGGAGCCGAAAGCUGAAAUACCACCCUUCGUCCGUCUGGAUCCUAACCCCGAGAAGGGGACACCGCUUGGCGGGUAGUUUGACUGGGGUGGUCGCCUCCAAAAGAGUAACGGAGGCUUCCCAAGGUCCGCUCAGGGCGAAUGGCAACCGCCCGGCGAGUGCAUUGGCAUAAGCGGGCUUGACUGGGAGACAUACAAGUCGAUCAGGUACGAAAGUAGGGCAAAGUGAUCCGGCGGUGCCUCAUGGGAGGGCCGUCGCUCAUAGGAUAAAAGGUACUCCGGGGAUAACAGGCUGAUCGCUCCCAAGAGCUCAAAUCGACGGAGCGGUUUGGCACCUCGAUGUCGGCUCGUCA
rnacentral:rRNA from 1 species